rnacentral:rRNA from 1 species
AGGUUUCCGUAGGUGAACCUGCGGAAGGAUCAUUACUGAGUGAGGGCCCUCUGGGUCCAACCUCCCACCCGUGUUUAUUGUACCUUGUUGCUUCGGUGCGCCCGCCUCACGGCCGCCGGGGGGCUUCUGCCCCCGGGUCCGCGCGCACCGGAGACACUAUUGAACUCUGUCUGAAGAUUGCAGUCUGAGCAUAAACUAAAUAAGUUAAAACUUUCAACAACGGAUCUCUUGGUUCCGGCAUCGAUGAAGAACGCAGCGAAAUGCGAUAACUAAUGUGAAUUGCAGAAUUCAGUGAAUCAUCGAGUCUUUGAACGCACAUUGCGCCCCCUGGUAUUCCGGGGGGCAUGCCUGUCCGAGCGUCAUUGCUGCCCUCAAGCACGGCUUGUGUGUUGGGCUCCGUCCCCCCGGGGACGGGUCCGAAAGGCAGCGGCGGCACCGAGUCCGGUCCUCGAGCGUAUGGGGCUUUGUCACCCGCUCUGUAGGCCCGGCCGGCGCCAGCCGACAACCAAUCAUCCUUUUUUCAGGUUGACCUCGGAUCAGGUAGGGAUACCC